ensembl:lncRNA novel transcript
AAAUAUGACCCAAAAUCCACUCCUCACUUGGACACUGCUCUGGUUAUGAUGGCUGACAAGAAGAUCCUGGUGGUUGCUGGCUUGUCUUCCUCUAAUAAGGAGCCUGAAUUUAGAAGGUGAUGAUAUGAGAAAACACCAAAUAUUCAGAAGCCAUCCAGGCCUGCUUUGGAUGUCUUUUGGGACAAGAGAGCAUGUGAGGGUAUAUCCAGGCUGCAAAUAGCACUGAAGAUGUCAUCUCUGUGGCUGUUCUACGUUCUACUUCACUCCCAAAGACCAUGAAUUACUUCAAAAUAUGCCUGAUCUGAUUUUUUUCUAAAGUACUGGGCAGCUGUGCAAACAAUAUUAAAACAGAAAAAAUAUUUUGUGCCAUGCACUGCCUUGAUUGUACACGCCCUUAAAAUAGGAAACAUAGACUCUUUCUAAAAAAUACAGUUAUAUCAAGACCUGCUUUUUAAAUAUCCGUAAUGUAUUAUUACCUUUUGUGUUUCUGUUCAGUAAGUAUUACAUUCACUGAGAGUGAUUUGACCAACAAUAAAAACA